CCUACGGGAGGCAGCAGUGGGGAAUUUUGGACAAUGGGCGCAAGCCUGAUCCAGCAAUGCCGCGUGAGUGAAGAAGGCCUUCGGGUUGUAAAGCUCUUUUGUCAGGGAAGAAAAGGGUCUGGCUAAUAUCUAGGCCUCAUGACGGUACCUGAAGAAUAAGCACCGGCUAACUACGUGCCAGCAGCCGCGGUAAUACGUAGGGUGCAAGCGUUAAUCGGAAUUACUGGGCGUAAAGCGUGCGCAGGCGGUUUUGUAAGACUGUCGUGAAAUCCCCGGGCUCAACCUGGGAAUGGCGAUGGUGACUGCAAGGCUAGAGUUUGGCAGAGGGGGGUAGAAUUCCACGUGUAGCAGUGAAAUGCGUAGAUAUGUGGAGGAACACCGAUGGCGAAGGCAGCCCCCUGGGUCAAAACUGACGCUCAUGCACGAAAGCGUGGGGAGCAAACAGGAUUAGAUACCCUGGUAGUCCACGCCCUAAACGAUGUCUACUAGUUGUCGGGUCUUAAUUGACUUGGUAACGCAGCUAACGCGUGAAGUAGACCGCCUGGGGAGUACGGUCGCAAGAUUAAAACCUCAAAGGAAUUGACGGCUGAGACCGAGCGAGACGACGACGAGGGAGGAGG
rnacentral:rRNA from 1 species